GUUCAUGUUUACCUUCGCUGUACACCAAACACUAAAGUAUACUAAGUAAUCUUUCUUAUUUUAUAAUUCAUAUCAAUAGAUAGUGGAAGAUAUACAAAUCUCACCUAUUGGGGCUGUAGCCAUAAAAUGUUAUCUUUGAAACAAAUAUCAUCAAUUCUGGAUUAAAUUAAAUAUUUAGAAAAUCUACAAUGUGUCCAUAAUGUGUGGGUCGGCACUGCCGACCCUGACCGGCCGCCACUGAUACUACUCAAAAACUUUGGUUUCGGCCUGGAGGGAAAUGUGUUACGAGAAAAAUCUUAUUUCUCUGGACUAAAAACUCGAAAAGCCGUACAGCUGUAUAACACGUGUUAUAAAUAUGUUCACUAUUAAAAAUACAAUAAAAUUUAUAUUUGAAA